rnacentral:rRNA from 1 species
AUGAACGCUGGCGGCGUGCCUAAUACAUGCAAGUCGAGCGAACGGACGAGAAGCUUGCUUCUCUGAUGUUAGCGGCGGACGGGUGAGUAACACGUGGAUAACCUACCUAUAAGACUGGGAUAACUUCGGGAAACCGGAGCUAAUACCGGAUGAUAUUUUGAACCGCAUGGUUCAAAAGUGAAAGACGGUCUUGCUGUCACUUAUAGAUGGAUCCGCGCUGCAUUAGCUAGUUGGUAAGGUAACGGCUUACCAAGGCAACGAUGCAUAGCCGACCUGAGAGGGUGAUCGGCCACACUGGAACUGAGACACGGUCCAGACUCCUACGGGAGGCAGCAGUAGGAAAUCUUCCGCAAUGGGCGAAAGCCUGACGGAGCAAUGCCGCGUGAGUGAUGAAGGUCUUCGGAUCGUAAAACUCUGUUAUUAGGGAAGAACAUAUGUGUAAGUAACUGUGCACAUCUUGACGGUACCUAAUCAGAAAGCCACGGCUAACUACGUG